AGACCUGCAGGUCAUAUAGUCAUAGAUAUAUCUACUACUGAAGUACACGUUUAAGUACUGAUCUGUAGAAUGGGGGGAAUGACUCUGACCCUGCUGCUGCUGUGUCUGUCUGGGACUCUCAGUGAAGAUGCUGGAGAAGACAACCUCAAUGACAUCAUGGUACAGAUUCAGCCUGAACAGGGACAGGACAUAGAACAUGAAUACAAGGCUCAUAACCAACAGGUAGAGACUGCAGCCACUACAACAACCCAAUCAGGAUGUGAGCCUACCAUCCACACUGUGAUGAGAGAACUGGGGGCAAUGGAGGAGCGACUGGGAGCAACAAUUAGGUCAUUGGAAGGCAUGAGAAACAGGCUGGAAGCCAGUGAGAGCCAAGUUAGGUCAUUAAACGCCACAGUGAAUGAACUGAAGAGAUUCAAUGAAGACAGGCCCCAGGUGACAUUCUCAGCUACUUGAGGAAUUUCUGGAACCAUUGGACCUGUCAGCAAUGAAAUCACUCUGGUCUUCCAGCGUGUUCUAUCAAACGUUGGAAAUGCCUACAAUCCAACCACAGGCAUCUUUACAGCACCAGUGAGAGGACUCUACCAUUUCACCUUCACAGCUUUUGACUGGGGAUGGACUAAAAUGACAGGGGCAAGCUUACGUCGUAAUGGACAGGUAAUGGUCUCUGUGUAUGAUGAGAAAGAAGGGGGUUCCUCUGAGUCGUCAUCCAAUAGCACCACCUUCCUGCUACAAGUGGGAGAGCAGGUGUAUGUUGCUCUCUGGGGACAUGGACAUCAGAUAUCUGACAAUGAAAAUCACUACUCCUCAUUUAACGGUUUCCUGCUCUUUCCCAUAUGAUGAAAUAUGUUCAAUAUGUUUUUCUGAUCAAUCACAUACAUCUUAAAAUUUUGACAUAGAAUAUAGUAAGUGUGUGCUUGUAGAAAUGCAAGAGGGACAUCCUGUAUUUGU